AGUUUAAGAUAAGCAGUGGUGCGGAGUAUAUUGUAUGUGUUUCUUUCAGAUUUAUCCACCACACUUCUUCGGGCUGGGCUUAUCCAGAGUCACAUCCUUUCCAUUCGGUUCGCAAAUCACCCUCUCAAAGAUCACUCUGAACAUUUGAUCGAGUCGUUGCAUGUUGUCAAAGUCUUUGUCCCAACCAUCAGCGUGGAGCUCCUGGAAAAUGGAAUCAACCUGGUGUGCAUCAGAGCCAGGCUGCAUCUCAGUGCUAAAUUCUUUUUUGGCAAACACUUUGAACGGUUUGAUGUCAUCGUAGACAUGGACAUGAAAGCAGAAGUCAGUUUAGUGGACUUUUUCGUGGGGAUUUUUAACAUAAACAUUGAAACAUGCAAGAACGAAUUUAAAAUCGCAAAGAUAAUCUGUUCUACACAGUAAGUCUUUCUG
rnacentral:lncRNA from 1 species